AACGAACGCUGGCGGCAGGCUUAACACAUGCAAGUCGAGCGCCCCGCAAGGGGAGCGGCAGACGGGUGAGUAACGCGUGGGAACGUACCCUUUGCUACGGAAUAGCUCCGGGAAACUGGAAUUAAUACCGUAUGUGCCCUACGGGGGAAAGAUUUAUCGGCAAAGGAUCGGCCCGCGUUGGAUUAGCUAGUUGGUGGGGUAAUGGCCUACCAAGGCGACGAUCCAUAGCUGGUCUGAGAGGAUGAUCAGCCACAUUGGGACUGAGACACGGCCCAAACUCCUACGGGAGGCAGCAGGGGGGAAUAUUGGACAAUGGGCGCAAGCCUGAUCCAGCCAUGCCGCGUGAGUGAUGACGGCCUUAGGGCUGUAAAGCUCUUUCGCACGCGACGAUAAUGACGGUAGCGUGAGAAGAAGCCCCGGCUAACUUCGUGCCAGCCGCCGCCGUAAUAC
rnacentral:rRNA from 1 species